AUGAAAACGGCGUCGUUUGGGGCGGUUAACAGAGCCGCGGCUGGAGCUGCAGCUGCGAGCUCUGGCGGUAAGACGGUAAUGAUAACCGGAGUGAGCAAAGGACGAGGCAGAGCCUUAGCUCUAGAACUAGCCAAGAGAGGUCACACCAUCAUCGGUUGCUCUCGUGCUCAGGAUAAGCUCAAUUCCCUCCAAUCUGAACUCUCCUCCGAUCAUAACAACCACCACCUCCUCGUCAUCGCCGACGUGAGGUCUAAUAGUAGCGUCGAAGAGCUGGCAAGAGCUGUAAUAGAAAAGAAGGAUGUUCCAGAUAUCAUAGUGAACAAUGCGGGUACCAUUAACAGAAACAACAAGAUAUGGGAAGUUCUAGAGGAAGAGUUUGACGCUGUAAUUGAUACGAAUGUGAAAGGAAUAGCUAAUGUUUUGCGUCACUUCAUCCCUCUAAUGUUACCCAAGAAGCAAGGAAUUAUUGUUAACUUCUCUUCUGGAUGGGGAAGAUCCGGUGCUGCCCUGGUGAAAUGGAUUUCCGCAAAAUUGAUUUUCUGUAGCUAUGAUCUAAUGUUUCCUUUUAAAUUAUUGUAAAAUCAGUUAAAAAAUUUGGGAUUUAGCUCAUUCAGCGAAAGCUAGUUUUUAUUUGUGAUGUCUGCUGCUGGAGCGUCAACAUUUAUGGUUGCUCCUUGUGCAUCUAAAUGGGCUGUUGUGGGUUUGACCAGAUCAGUUGCAAAGGAGUUGCCUGACGGGAUGGCAGUUAUUGCACUUAAUCCGGCAGUGAUACACACUGAAAUGCUCCAGUCAUGCUUUGGCACUUCAACUUCAAUUUACCAGGCACCUGAU